CCUCCUCCACUCCGCUCCGCUCGCUCUAUAAAAGAGCACCGCGUCCGCGGCGCCAUUCCACUUCCACCACCACUACCACCACCGCCCGGCGAGAGGAGAGCAGAGGGGGAGCGAGCAACCGGCGGCGAGAUGAUGCAGAUCUUCGUGAAGACGCCGACCGGGGAGACCAUGACGCUCGAGGUCGAGAGUUGCGCGGCCGUCGACAGCGUCAAGGCCAAGAUCCACGACAAGGAAGGUAUCCAGCCGGACCAGCAGCGCCUCAUCUUCGCGGGGAAGCAGCUCGACGAUGGCCGCACCCUGGCCGACUACAGCAUCCACAAGGAGUCCACGCUUCACCUCGCGCUGCGCCUCGUCGGCGGUGGCAAGGGCGGGGUCUACCCCAGCAGGAUGGAGCCUAACCUGCGCGUGCUUGCGCUCAAGUACAGGCAGCACAGGCUUGUGUGCCGCAAGUGCUAUGCACGCCUGCCCCUCAGGGCUGCCAACUGCCGCAAGAAGAAGUGCGGCCACAGCAAUGACAUCAGGCCCAAGGAGAAGCUGCGCCCCCACUAA
rnacentral:rRNA from 1 species